rnacentral:rRNA from 1 species
UAGGGAAUUUUCGGCAAUGGGGGAAACCCUGACCGAGCAACGCCGCGUGAACGACGAAGGCCUUAGGGUCGUAAAGUUCUGUUGCGAAGGAAGAACGCCGGAGGGAGGAAAUGCCCUGCGGGUGACGGUACUUCGCGAGAAAGCCACGGCUAACUACGUGCCAGCAGCCGCGGUAAUACGUAGGUGGCGAGCGUUAUCCGGAAUCAUUGGGCGUAAAGAGGGAGCAGGCGGCCGUGAGGGUCUGUGGUAAAAGACUGAAGCUCAACUUCAGUGAGCCAUGGAAACCGGACGGCUGGAGUGCGGCAGAGGAUCGUGGAAUUCCAUGUGUAGCGGUGAAAUGCGUAGAUAUAUGGAGGAACACCAGUGGCGAAGGCGACGGUCUGGGCCUGCACUGACGCUCAUUCCCGAAAGCGUGGGGAGCAAAUAGG